CUAGCUAUAGCUCAGUGACAGAGCGAUGGGGCGUUGACCCAUGCGGCCCGGGUUCGAGCCCCGGUCGCUGCA